CAAACCCCCCCCUGGGAAAAGGGGUACCCCCAGGGGCCCCGGAAAAAGGGGGCUUUUCUGUGGUCUAAAAAGCCUAGGGAAUAAAAGGGGGGCAAGACUGGUGUCAGCCGCCGCGGUAACACCAGCCCCUCGAGUGGUGGGGAUGAUUAUUUGGCCUAAAGCGUCCGUAGCCUGCGGGUAAGUCUCCCGUUAAAUCCAGCGUCUCAAGCGUUGGACUGCGGGAGAUACUGCUCGGCUAGAGAGUGGGAGAGGUGUGCGGUAUUCUGGGGGUAGGGGCGAAAUCCUUUGAUCCCCGGAGGACCACCAGUGGCGAAGGCUGCACACUAGAACACGUCUGACGGUCAGGGACGAAAGCUGGGGUAGCGAACCGGAUUAGAUACCCGGGUAGUCCCAGCUGUAAACGAUGCAUGCUAGGUGUUGGGUCGGCCAUGAGCCGCCUCAGUGCCGCAGGGAAGCCGUUAAGCAUGCCGCCUGGGGAGUACGGCCGCAAGGCUGAAACUUAAAGGAAUUGGCGGGGGAG
rnacentral:rRNA from 1 species